rnacentral:lncRNA from 12 species
GUGCGGGCAAAGCGUGCGGGGUUUCUGCGCCCCCUUCUAGCCUUCGGCCGUCCCGCACCCCCUGCUCCCCCGCUGCCCCAGCCCAGCCCGGGCCCACCUCCCGCCCCGCCCCGCGCCGCGAUCUGUCGAGUCAUCCGUCCUGUCCGCGCCCGCGCGGGGGGAUGGGCGGGCCGCAGGCCCCGGCGCGAGGACCCCUGCGGUCGCGGAGGGGCGAGGGACCACGACGCCCAACCCCUCUCCGCCCAGGGCGGGUCUCGAGAGCCGCGGGGACCGCUGCGGCCGAGGGGAAGGGGUGUCUGGGUCCCGCGGCAGGGGCAGCUCGCCCCGGACGCCCGGCGAUUCCGCGCCGGGUUUUCCCGUCUCCCGCGGGCCCUGUUCUCCGCGCUCGCCCCCUCCCCCCUCCCCCCGCGCAUCCGGCGCCGGCCACGUCCGCGGACGCAGCACUCAACGGGCGCGCUGAUCCCUCCGCGCGGGCGCUCGGGACCGCGGCCCUCUCCUCGCCAGAUUCAGCCCUACAGCCCAGCCUUGACAGGUCGACGUUUCCGGGGGCUCCUAGAAGAUUCUGGGGCAGUGGUUUUCUCCCUGGAGGCCAGGAAGACGGUGAAAAGUAGUCCCUUCUCGGCGUUUCUGCGCAGGGAUCCGCCGGAGCGGCGCGGCCGAUUGUUAUAUAAGGAGGCGCCGGGCGUGGCGCAGGCAGUUCCGUGGAGGCCGGGAGGUCGGUUGUUCGUCUCCGUGCGCUUCUGUCACAGCCGCUUGGUGAGGAGCGGGCCGCUGCGCGGGCCUGGGGGUCUUGGGGCCCUGCAGGGGCGGGGGGCCGGGCAGCCGGCUGCCCGGGGAGUUGCCCGCGGCGCCGGAGCGCGGUUACCCUUGGGGGGGGGGCAGCAAAAUGGCGUCCGCUACGGCUCCUGUGCGGGGAGAAGCCGAGGUGCGAGGGGCCGUGAGGAGCCCGGGAGGCGGGAUGGCUGUGAGCGGGCGAGACGCGCCGAGCCAGUGGGGCCCUGA